GCUUGUUUGUUGUCCGUGGUCUGCUGUCGUGCACGUACGUGCGCGCAUCGGCACACGUAUACCCACACGUCGUUUCGCUCACUGCGGUCUGCUGGAGAUAGUCAAGGGCGGAGGCCCACUUAGUUGCGUAUAAAGCAACCGCACAAAGACCUCUUAGAACCCCUCCCGAAACGAAAAGGAGAGUGGGGCGGGUCAUCCAUUAUCGCACUGAAGGCAAGCGGCGCGUAAUUCACUGCACCCAACGCGCAUCUUCCCUCUGUUCAUCAGACGUGCGCCGCGGGUGGUGUGCGGUAGUUUGUUUUGGACCGUGGCAAGCGCGCACGUUCGAGGUAUUCCCUCUUUAGCUUCUCCUCGCUCUUUAGGACCCUAUUCAGCGCGCUCCUUCGGUGGUCUGGUCACCUCCCACCUCAAAAGGCGCGCGUCUGUUUCUCUCUCAAGGCGCCCACCCUCUAGGUCUGCCAUCGACUAGCCCAUCCGCCCUCGCCUUGCUGGUUGCCCUUGCUUAUUUAGCGUUGAUAGCCCUUUCAUGUGCUUUACCAUUGUCACGGGAAAUGCUGCGCUGCUUCAACGGAUCGAUGCUUCGCCCCACGCGCGGCGCCGCUUCUCUGGCGACUGCGACUGCCCCCGCUGCCAUAGCGCUGCCGGCUCGUCAGUUCCAUAGCGUGUACGGCAUUAUUGGCUCCUGCCUCAUGUGCGGCGCCUGCAUGCUGUGCUUCGGCUCCUGGGCAAACAACUACUGCAACGUGAAGAAGUAUGGCCGCUGGCGCUUUCGAAACUCGAUCGAUGAUGUCAUCAUGGUCUCCGACUUCCGUGGCGCGCGCUACUUCGGGGCCUUCCUCGGCUUUCUCUUUUGGUGGUUUGUCGUAGGCCCGCAGAAGUACCGCUGGAACAGCAACUUGGCCGACAUUCCCGGCAACACACGCAUCGGGCCCUUCUAAACGCCCACGCCGAUAGACAGUAGUCGCUGUCGACGGACCGAGGCAACGAAAACGAGAAUGGCCUUGCCGGUGAGAUGCGGAAAGGGGGAGGAGCCGGGUUCAGCGCGCGCCUGCACGGUAGCGGAGAAGGGCUGGCGUCUCCUUGCUUGUGCGAGUCCACCAGAGGCGGUCGGGGCUGCAGCUGCGCACUUAAGCUGUGCAUCCUCUCGUGGCUUACUAGUGUCCCUCUCCUCCCCGUCUUCCGUGGGAGGCCCUGCUACACAUAUAUGUACAUAUAUACAUAUAUAUAUAUAUAUAUAAUAUGUAUGCACGUGUAUGUCUUUUGACUCCACCUAUCAGCAGUGCUGAGUCGGCCGUUUGUCGCUGCGCUGUUUGUACUUGCCUGUGUGGAGUAGGAACGGCGUUACUUUCGCCCCUUCUCUGGCGCCCCUCGGACAGCAGCAGAUGCGUACGUACGUUUACGUGAAGGCAGAGGAAGGGAAGGGGGGGGGUGACGGCAUCCGCAGCGUAUUUUGCUCGUGUGUGUGUGUCGUCUCGCACAUGCAUGGCGUGUGCUGCUUCCGUCUGGUGGCCGUUUUUUUUUUUCGGACGCCACUCAUCAUCUCCGUCUCGAGGGCGGGACACCGAAAAGGAGGUUCAGCGACGAACAACGGAAAGACAAAGAGAAAGCGAACUUCUGUGGCAAGACAACAUCGCCGGCGACUGGGAGGGGAGGGGAUGUGUUGGGGGGCUGAGGAGGACGCGGCACGAAAGAGAUGAAAUUCGGCAUGUGGAUCUCCGCCUUCGCUUGCGCCCCGGCGUCUGCAUUGUUCGUAUUGUGCAUCCGAUGGGGAUGCGCAGUGGAGGAAGAGGUUCACACAGGCAGCGCCGUGUCAGUGUCCCUUGCGCCACGUCUGCCACUUCUCUCUCGUCGUCUUGCGCGAUGGGCUGGCCUGCCCCACCCUCUUCGUGCAAUGGACUCGCAUCCGCCAAUGCGUCCGCGUGGUAUCGCUUGUCCAGGCGCGCCACCCCUAUGACUACACCGACCCCCUCUCGGGCCCCCUCCUUCCUCGCCUCCGUGUGCCUUGGACUUGCUCAAUCGCACACGCGAUUCUCCGCUACACACACACAAACAUACACACCAACCUUGGCGCGCACAAUGCGAUCGUGGGCGACCCCUCCCCGCUUACAUCCUAUCGCGCACGCACUCGCGCAGCACCAGUGGGACUGUCCGACGCGGCCCACUCCCAUCCCCCUGUUUUGUUUGCGCUCUUACCUCACCUUUAG
rnacentral:misc_RNA from 1 species